rnacentral:rRNA from 1 species
CAGUAGCCACGGUAAUACGAAGGGGGCUAGCGUUGCUCGGAAUCACUGGGCGUAAAGGGUGCGUAGGCGGGUCUUUAAGUCGGGGGUGAAAUCCUGGAGCUCAACUCCAGAACUGCCUUUGAUACUGAAGAUCUUGAGUUCGGGAGAGGUGAGUGGAACUGCGAGUGUAGAGGUGAAAUUCGUAGAUAUUCGCAAGAACACCAGUGGCGAAGGCGGCUCACUGGCCCGACACUGACGCUGAGGCACGAAAGCGUGGGGAGCAAACAGGAUUAGAGACCCCUGUAGUCCCUGUCUCUUAUAC